GACCUUACGGUGGGUUCUUGGUUCUCUCUCUCCAUCCUUGAGUGGCCCGUUCUGGUAUUAAGUUAUCGGGGCGUUCGCCGCUCAUCGUUUACUGUGAGAAAAUUAGAGUGUUCAAAGCAGGCUUAUGCCGUUGAAUAUAUUAGCAUGGAAUAAUGAGAUAGGACCUCGGUACUAUUUUGUUGGUUUGCGCACCAAGGUAAUGAUGAACAGGGACAGGUGGGGGUAUUUGCAUUUCGUUGUCAGAGGUGAAAUUCUUAGAUUUACGAAAGACAAACUACUGCGAAAGCAUUUACCAAAUAUGUUUUCUUUGAUCAAGAACGAAAGUAUGGGGAUCGAAGAUGAUUAGAUACCAUCGUAGUCUAUACCAUAAACUAUGCCGACUCAGGAUGGGCGGGUGUUUUAUGACCUNGUCUGCACUGUAUGAGAAAUUAAAGUCUUUGGGUUCCGGGGGGAGUAUGGUCGCAAGGCUGAAACUUAAAGAAAUUGCCGGAACGGGCACCACCAGGAGU
rnacentral:rRNA from 1 species